rnacentral:rRNA from 1 species
GACGAAAAAUGAAUACCAAGUCUCAAGAGUGAACACGUAAUUCAUUACGAAGUUUAAUUCAUUGAGCAUCAAACUUUUAAAUUGAAGAGUUUGAUCAUGGCUCAGAUUGAACGCUGGCGGCAGGCCUAACACAUGCAAGUCGAACGGUAACAGGAAGCAGCUUGCUGCUUUGCUGACGAGUGGCGGACGGGUGAGUAAUGUCUGGGAAACUGCCUGAUGGAGGGGGAUAACUACUGGAAACGGUGGCUAAUACCGCAUAACGUCGCAAGACCAAAGAGGGGGACCUUCGGGCCUCUUGCCAUCAGAUGUGCCCAGAUGGGAUUAGCUUGUUGGUGAGGUAACGGCUCACCAAGGCGACGAUCCCUAGCUGGUCUGAGAGGAUGACCAGCCACACUGGAACUGAGACACGGUCCAGACUCCUACGGGAGGCAGCAGUGGGGAAUAUUGCACAAUGGGCGCAAGCCUGAUGCAGCCAUGCCGCGUGUAUGAAGAAGGCCUUCGGGUUGUAAAGUACUUUCAGCGGGGAGGAAGGUGUUGUGGUUAAUAACCGCAGCAAUUGACGUUACCCGCAGAAGAAGCACCGGCUAACUCCGUGCCAGCAGCCGCGGUAAUACGGAGGGUGCAAGCGUUAAUCGGAAUUACUGGGCGUAAAGCGCACGCAGGCGGUCUGUCAAGUCGGAUGUGAAAUCCCCGGGCUCAACCUGGGAACUGCAUUCGAAACUGGCAGNNNNNNNNNNNNNNNNNNNNGUAGCGGUGAAAUGCGUAGAGAUCUGGAGGAAUACCGGUGGCGAAGGCGGCCCCCUGGACAAAGACUGACGCUCAGGUGCGAAAGCGUGGGGAGCAAACAGGAUUAGAUACCCUGGUAGUCCACGCCGUAAACGAUGUCUACUUGGAGGUUGUGCCCUUGAGGCGUGGCUUCCGGAGCUAACGCGUUAAGUAGACCGCCUGGGGAGUACGGCCGCAAGGUUAAAACUCAAAUGAAUUGACGGGGGCCCGCACAAGCGGUGGAGCAUGUGGUUUAAUUCGAUGCAACGCGAAGAACCUUACCUGGUCUUGACAUCCACGGAAGUUUUCAGAGAUGAGAAUGUGCCUUCGGGAACCGUGAGACAGGUGCUGCAUGGCUGUCGUCAGCUCGUGUUGUGAAAUGUUGGGUUAAGUCCCGCAACGAGCGCAACCCUUAUCCUUUGUUGCCAGCGGUCCGGCCGGGAACUCAAAGGAGACUGCCAGUGAUAAACUGGAGGAAGGUGGGGAUGACGUCAAGUCAUCAUGGCCCUUACGACCAGGGCUACACACGUGCUACAAUGGCGCAUACAAAGAGAAGCGACCUCGCGAGAGCAAGCGGACCUCAUAAAGUGCGUCGUAGUCCGGAUUGGAGUCUGCAACUCGACUCCAUGAAGUCGGAAUCGCUAGUAAUCGUGGAUCAGAAUGCCACGGUGAAUACGUUCCCGGGCCUUGUACACACCGCCCGUCACACCAUGGGAGUGGGUUGCAAAAGAAGUAGGUAGCUUAACCUUCGGGAGGGCGCUUACCACUUUGUGAUUCAUGACUGGGGUGAAGUCGUAACAAGGUAACCGUAGGGGAACCUGCGGUUGGAUCACCUCCUUACCUUAAAGAAGCGUACUUUGCAGUGCUCACACAGAUUGUCUGAUGAAAA